rnacentral:rRNA from 1 species
GACGAACGCUGGCGGCGUGCUUAACACAUGCAAGUCGAACGGUGAAGCUCCAGCUUGCUGGAGUGGAUCAGUGGCGAACGGGUGAGUAACACGUGAGCAACCUGCCCCUGACUCUGGAAUAAGCGCUGGAAACGGCGUCUAAUACUGGAUACGAGAAGGGUCCGCAUGGGCACUUUCUGGAAAGUUUUUCGGUUGGGGAUGGGCUCGCGGCCUAUCAGCUUGUUGGUGAGGUAAUGGCUCACCAAGGCGACGACGGGUAGCCGGCCUGAGGGGGCGACCGGCCACACUGGGACUGAGACACGGCCCAGACUCCUACGGGAGGCAGCAGUGGGGAAUAUUGCACAAUGGGCGAAAGCCUGAUGCAGCGACGCCGCGUGAGGGAUGACGGCCUUCGGGUUGUAAACCUCUUUCAGCAGGGAAGAAGCGAAAGUGACGGUACCUGCAGAAGAAGCACCGGCUAACUACGUG